UCACCAUUGUAUUCGCACUUGUAUUCUAAGUUUGCAGCAAGAACGAUGGAUCGAAAAUGUCUUUUUAUAUUUAUCAUGACACUUGUGAUUGUUACAGCCAUAAGUCCAGGCAAGCAACUUCACUUGCCGUAUGCGACAAUCCCAGUGCACAGGUGUGAGAAGACCCAGUUGCUUUGAAUCAAGGACACAGCUGCGUUUCGCGUGCUCCGUAAGGUAUGAACAUUGUCAAAGAGCAUGGCUAAGUCAUUGCACACGGCCCUCUGUUAUUGCUUGUUGGGACCACAAGACAUACUGCGACUGCC